GGAUUGUAGGCUGAAACUACGCCUACAUGAAGCUGGAGUUGCUAGUAAUCGCGAAUCAGCAUGUCGCGGUGAAUACGUUCCCGGGCCUUGUACACACCGCCCGUCACACCAUGAGAGUUGGCAAUACCCAACGUACGUGAUCUAACCCGCAAGGGAGGAAGCGUCCUAAGGUAGGGUCAGCGAUUGGGGUGAAGUCGUAACAAGGUAUC
rnacentral:rRNA from 1 species